GCGUGGUGUAAAUGUGUUACUUGUUUGCUCAGCAAGUCGAACAAACCUUGCAAACUGUUAACCCGAAUAAUUCAGUCGUUAUAUUCCGCUUACUACAUUAAGUAAGUAGGAGAGAUCGAUUACGGGAGGGACUGAAUUAUUCGGGUUAGCAAACUGUAUGCAAAAUUUCACAAAUUUCAACAUUCUGUCAUUUGUGAAAAAAUAUUUACAUAACAAAUCUUGAGAUCAUAUAUGCAUUCUUUAUAUAAGUAAAACAACUGCGAAAUUUAAAAGUUCCAGCUUGAAAUUCAACCUGUAUCAGAUGUAAGCCGGAGUCUGUACUCUGUGUGCCUUUGUAUUUUAUCAAAAUGCCUAUUAAUCCAGCAACCUGUCAUUAAACAAAAAAGAAAAUCCAG
rnacentral:lncRNA from 1 species